UAUGUGUUUUCUUUUGACAGAGCUUAUUUUUCACUGCAUGUGGUAUCAUUCGUCUGGGAGAGUUUGGAGAGAUUAAUGAAUGGUCCACGGAUACACAAACAACAGACACUGAAGCUCUUGCAUAUGUUGCACCUGAGAACUUGAGUGGCAGACCGUAUGAUGAGAAAACUGAAAUUUGGAGGUUGGGAUGUGUCAUCUAUGAGCUGUGCAUGCUGAAGUGCGCG